UACGUAGGGUGCAAGCGUUGCCCGGAUUUAUUGGGCGUAAAGGGCGCGCAGGCGGCUACGCACGUCCGUUGUGAAAUCGCUCGGCUCAACUGGGCGGGGUCGGCGGAUACGGCGUAGCUGGAGCAAGCUAGGGGGCAAUGGAAUUCCCGGUGUAGUGGUGGAAUGCGUAGAGAUGUGGAGGAACACCGAUGGCGAAGGCAGCCCCCUGGGCUAACACUGACGCUCAUGCACGAAAGCGUGGGGAGCAAACAGG
rnacentral:rRNA from 1 species